GAAUAUGACCUGUGAAUUUCAUUUUCUAUCAAUAAGUGAUUUAAUCUAUGAUAUAUAGAUAUAUAUGUAUGGCUGUUAUACAGAUAAGAAGAAGAAAGCUCUCUAAACUGAAAACAUUUGUCAGUGAUGAAAUAGAGUUCUAUAAAGUUUCCAUUUUCUGAGCUAUAAUUUCCUUAAUUUUCAUGAAGAAAUGUCAAAGAUAAGACGCUGACAGUGUGGAUUAGUAAACUAAUUUUUAGGGCAUAGAUUUACUGGAAAUAGUUUCUAGAUUUUGAGAAUAAAAGCACCAUAAAAAUCCAAGGUACUUUUAACAAAUUCAGCACUUUGCUCCUUAAUUAAUAAAUACUAACUUGGCACACACUAUUUUUGUCAAGCACAGGACAAAUCUUUAGAUUAAAAUGUCCUGUCUUACACAAAUGAAUGUGGAUCUAUUCCCAUAAAACUGUAUUUGCAAAAACAGGAGACUGCCCUUGGGUGUAGAUUGACAAUCUGUGGUCUAGUAGGUAAAAACAACAAGUUACCAGGAAUUUAGGAUACAGUUUCUGAUUGGGGAAAGACUUAAGAGGUUCAAGAAGGCUUCCUAGAGGAAGCAUCAGUGAUCUAAAUGAUCUAAAUGCCUCCAUCACAAAAAUGAAUCCAAAUGAUAGAAGGUGGGAAAUAAGAAACUUAAGAACAUAAAUUAAGGAAAUGAAAAACAAAUAUACAGGAGCAAGAUCAACAAAUGAAAAGACUGCGUCUUUAAAAAAGAAAAAACAAUUUCCUGAUUCAUUUCACUACCAGGUCAAAGACACAAUCAAAAGCCCGACAAAUGGAAUUUGUGGAAUUGGAACAAAAAGCUUUUCUUCCUAGGCACAAGAACAUCAAAGCAUAAAUCCUUCAGGUAUCAGCAAUGACAUCACUUAAGAAUUUCUCAGAAUCUUUGGCACCACCCCAGGCCUACCGGAUCAGAAUCUGAAUUUUUUAACAAGAUCUCAGAUCUAGUCAAGAGUCCAGUCUGAUUUCUCUUUAUUGGGACUACCACCCAAAGCAGAAUGAGGAUGAUGUAACCACGCCCAGUGACUUCUGGAUACCACUGACUCUAGAUCCUGAAUUCCAGCAGAAUGGCUGACACCAACUGGUCUGAAGACCCUCACCAAGGAACUGACUCAGUGCAGGAAUGCAGUUUCUUCAUCUCCCUAUCCCUGACUUCACCCCUCACUUCUCAACCAAUCAGUGAUCACCACACUUUAGGCCAUCACCUGUGUCCAGACCCCUUAAAAACCCCAUCUGCAAACCUCUUGAAGAGGCAUAUUUGAGGUUUCCUCUCAUCUCCUCAUUUGGUUUCCCUACAAUUAUUAAAUUCUUUCUCUGCUGCAACUCCUACUUUUUCAGUGUAUUGGUCUGUUACUGUGCAACAGGAAAUCAGACCUGGUGGUCCUAUAGUAAGAGUUCACAGAAUAUGAUAUACAAAGUGAUCUGUGAUAUACAAAAACCGGCACAAUCUCACUCUUAAUAAGAAAAAUUCAACUUAAAAUUAAAAGUUUUUUUUCCUCAGAAUGGCAAAGAUCAAAGUUUGAUAACAUGGUUGGAAAGUAUGCAGACCGAUAUUCUCAUAUUCAUUGAUGAAGUGUAAAUUGAUACAUCCUUUGUCAGUACGGACAGGUUUCCCAACUCUAGGGGUGAAAUUUAUACAGACUACAGUGUGAAUGACAACCACUUCAAAUUGGGUGAUAUGAUGACCUUGACUCUGUGGAGGGUCAUUUGGCAAAAUAUCUCAAAAUAAAAAUGUACAUACAAUUUGA
rnacentral:lncRNA from 1 species